CCUAAGGACUUUUAAACCUCAAAGAUGAGGGUGGGAACAACAGAGAAGAACCUAUUAUUGGGCCACCUAUCAAGCAAAAAGAAAAUACAGCAAUAGAUCACACUGGAUGCAUGGUGAACUGUGGCAGAUGGAGAAAUGGUUGGAAGCCAUGGGACGAAUGCCUAGAGUUUUGAAGGAAUGUAGACAAGGUCUCCAGAUUUGCCACCCAUGCUGAGUGCCGUGGUGUGAUCAUGGCUUAUUUCAACCUCAACCUCCCCCACUCAAGCGAUCCUCCUGCCUCAGCCUCUGGAGUAGCUGGGACUACAGGCACGCACCACCACACCCAGCCAUAAUUUGCCUCUUGCUGUAACUAAAAGGUCACAAAAACAAAGAAUUCUAAAAAAUCUUCUUCUUAAGUGGUAUGUUUAGUAUUUAUCAUGAUGACAAUGUUCUAAAUUGCACCUGCCUCCACUAGCAGAAUGCCAGGAUUACUGCCAGACAGAGAAUUCGGACUGCUGGUCCAGGGACAUAGCUAUGAAAUGCACCAAGGACAGCAGAGUGUGUUUUGGAGAAAGCCAGGUAGCUCUUGAUAGGGCCUAUAUGAGUACUUAUUCCUGCUGAUAGGAAAAAAAUGAUUAGAAAAAUCUCAUUUCUUUAUUCAUUUCUACUCUGAGAGCUUUUUACUUCUAGAAACACGGUCUUAGUUUUCUGUGUUAUUAUGUUUUUUUUUUGAAACUGACAAAAUUUCACAAUUAAUUUAUGUUCAUUCAAAUGUUUAAUAAUUAUACCUUGAAUUUGUCUUAUAAUUAGUAUUUUCUUGUUAUUUCCAACAAGAGAAAGUGUGCAGGAAAAGGGACUAGAUCAGGUUGAGAGAGCCAGGGGUGUUCAGUCAAGCAGGCAGAACUCAGGACACUGAACGGGGUGAGUAUGAGGCAGCCAGAGUCCCCAGACCCGCAGAGGAGGGUCCAAAGGACAGCUUUUCAUGAUCCAGGAAGGAAAUCUCCUUCAAUAACGUCUCUCCUUCAAGAAGCUGGGGGUGUCGCUGGGAUUUAACGUAGAGAUUCCAGUCUUAGAUUGAGGGAAGGAAGGGAGGCAAAAGGAAGGAAGCCUCGCAUCCUCAUGCGAAGAAGCCAGCUUGUAGAAAUGAAGCUCAAAAUGAUCCCUACAGCACAAGCAGUCCAGGGCAUGUGGACUCCUGCUGGGUUGGGGCCAGGACAGGAGAAGAAAGUUUGAUACAGGCCUGAGGCUCGGGAGCCCUGCACUGGCUGUGCGUCUCUACAACCAUCCCAGAGUCGGCCCAGGUACCAGGUCUUCUGGCUCAGAUAAAGAUCACACAUGACUCGCCUGAAAACUUGAGGCAGAGGUGUGCCAUUGUCACAAAAGGCGCUGUCAGGGUGGAGGCUCAGGGAAUGAUAGAGGAGCUCUUGAAUCACCCUGGAGAAAUUUUACCUCGGUCAGACAGCUACAGAGCCGACUUAAUAUUUUUAUUUAAAAUCUAGAUUAUUUGGGGGCUGGUUUGGAAAUGGGGGAGAUCUGUGAGUCCAGGCAUGGUAGCAGGAAGAGAAGAGGCUUCCUUGUAACCCUACUGACUCUUCCUCUCACUUGUCCCAAAAGCACAGGGUGAGAGACAAGAACAUUGGUACAGUGCGUUCAGGAAACUUUUCAACUUUUUAUGUGUAGUGUACCAAAAUAUUUUUUCACACAUGCAAAGACAGUGGUCAGGGGCUAUUCUGGCUUGUUAGAAAAAAGGAUGUGACGUUUUCCAGUCCCUGGGUGGGUCUCAGUUCUCUUAGAGGCUCUGCCUCUCACUCACACCUCUGCUAGAGGAAUGCGAGGAAGCUCUGACAAGAUUGUGAUCUGGGGACACGUUUGCCACCUCAGCGCCAAGGCUGACGUGGGGACAUGGGCUACUCAGUGAACGCACUUUACCCAGGAUACCAAGGGCACUUAAUGAUACCGACAGUUCUGUUUACAUCCUUCUCCACUGCCUCCAGCAUCAUUCAAGGCGUAAUCUCUUGGAAAAGUUUGAUUAGAAUGAAUUCUAGUUUGGCGUAGGUUAUUAUGCACCUAAAUUGGCUAAACUUAGCUUCAUAUAUCAAACAUAAGAUAUACAUCUCUAGAGAUGCGUCUGUGGAGACCUCCAUAGGCACCAGUAUAUAUUAUUCUAAGUUUUACCUCUUUUCUUGUGGAUUACUAACUUUGUGGUUCUCCCUUGAUUAGGUUUAUAUGCAAUUUUCUUAGAAAAUGUCAACUCCAAUUCUGCAACAUACUGAGCCCCUUUAUUGGAAACUUCAAAGUUCCUAGUCCAAUCCUAAUUCUAGAUCUUACUUCAUAUGUUGCUUUUAUCUUCUCUUGGGUAAUGGGUCAUUUCAAGGGUGAUUUUUUUGACUUUAUCUUAUUGGGGAUAUAAGUGCAGAUAAAGGAGAUACAGACGAGCAUUUAAUUUUUUUUUUCAGUGCAGUGAUUAUGGAGUCAGGGUAGUAUUUCUGCUGUGUAUGGUAAACUCCAUAGGAUCUCAUUUAUUCAUGGUUAAAGGCUUUCCUGGGGAAACCAGUAUGCUAACUUCAGGCAGAUAAUAAAACCUGAGGUAUAUGGAGAGUGUCUACUUUGACACAUUCAGGGCUAGCCCUCUCCUGCUGGUGCAGUUCAAUGUGAAUUUAGUCAUUUGUGGUCACUUAACAGCAAAGAGAUCUUUCUACAGAGUCUAGCUGUGCUGAUUAUCAAACUGGGGAAAAUUGAUGGCCAUUUGUUAUGGCUAAUAACACAGGUGCCGGUCAACUUUAUAAAAAUGUAGAAAAGUAUUUGCGGUGAAAAUUAUCCUAACCAUUGUGGAAAAAUGCCCAUCCCACUUCAAUUCAUAGCUGAAUACAUAUAGGAACUACAGUUCUCAGACCUGCAGUGAGUUCUGACCAAUGGAAUUCAGUGGGAUGAUAGAUGCUGCCUUUGAAGCCACCCCAUCAACUGGCUCAUCUCCUCCUGUCUCAGCUCUUUCUCCUGCUGCAUCCUGAUGCAGGACCACUGCACAACCUCACAAACCUUAUGUGGAAAGUAGUGGAGCCACCAGAUGUUAUGGGUAUCCUUUAAUGGAGAACUUUACACUACUUUGAAAUGACAGUUUUAUACUUUUCAUAAGAAAGAAAUAAACUUCCAUUGUACUAA
rnacentral:lncRNA from 1 species